rnacentral:tRNA from 1 species
CGGGGUGUGGCGCAGCCUGGUAGCGCACCUGCCUUGGGCGCAGGGGGUCGGAGGUUCGAAUCCUCUCGCCCCGACCA